UAUUUUCAUUCUUACCCUCACAGGCAACAGCGAGUACUAUCUCGGCCACGACUUUAUCGUCUCUGUUCGUUCCACUCAUUCGUACUCGCUUUGAAUCUUUCUUCUUCGGUGCCGGUAUCGGAAAAGGAGGCGGCGGCGUCAUUGUUGCUGUUGAGAAAGGUCGCGGAGGCGGUGAAGGAGGGUCAGAGAGAAAAAAGAAACAUAAAAAAAAAGAUAGAGAAAAGAGAAUAAAGAUAUUUUGGUCAGAUUUUUGAAAAUUCGGACUGAAUCUGCAAAAUCCAAAAAUAGUGA
rnacentral:lncRNA from 1 species